GCUGAUGCGUUGUUGGGUAGGGGAGCGUUCUGUAAGCCUGCGAAGGUGACCUGUGAGGGUUGCUGGAGGUAUCAGAAGUGCGAAUGCUGACAUAAGUAACGAUAAAGCGGGUGAAAAGCCCGCUCGCCGGAAGACCAAGGGUUCCUGUCCAACGUUAAUCGGGGCAGGGUGAGUCGACCCCUAAGGCGAGGCCGAAAGGCGUAGUUGAUGGGAAACGGGUUAAUAUUCCCGUACUUGGUGUUACUGCGAAGGGGGGACGGAGAAGGCUAUGUUGGCCGGGCGACGGUUGUCCCGGUUUAAGCGUGUAGGUGUGUGUUCCAGGUAAAUCCGGUUCACUUUAACACUGAGGCGUGAUGACGAGGCACUACGGUGCUGAAGCAACAAAUGCCCUGCUUCCAGGAAAAGCCUCUAAGCAUCAGGUAACAUCAAAUCGUACCCCAAACCGACACAGGUGGUCAGGUAGAGAAUACCAAGGCGCUUGAGAGAACUCGGGUGAAGGAACUAGGCAAAAUGGUGCCGUAACUUCGGGAGAAGGCACGCUGACACGUAGGUGAAGUGAUUUACUCAUGGAGCUGAAGUCAGUCGAAGAUACCAGCUGGCUGCAACUGUUUAUUAAAAACACAGCACUGUGCAAACACGAAAGUGGACGUAUACGGUGUGACGCCUGCCCGGUGCCGGAAGGUUAAUUGAUGGGGUCAGCGCAAGCGAAGCUCCUGAUCGAAGCCCCGGUAAACGGCGGCCGUAACUAUAACGGUCCUAAGGUAGCGAAAUUCCUUGUCGGGUAAGUUCCGACCUGCACGAAUGGCGUAAUGAUGGCCAGGCUGUCUCCACCCGAGACUCAGUGAAAUUGAACUCGCUGUGAAGAUGCAGUGUACCCGCGGCAAGACGGAAAGACCCCGUGAACCUUUACUAUAGCUUGACACUGAACAUUGAGCCUUGAUGUGUAGGAUAGGUGGGAGGCUUUGAAGUGUGGACGCCAGUCUGCAUGGAGCCGACCUUGAAAUACCACCCUUUAAUGUUUGAUGUUCUAACGUGGACCCGUAAUCCGGGUUGCGGACAGUGUCUGGUGGGUAGUUUGACUGGGGCGGUCUCCUCCUAAAGAGUAACGGAGGAGCACGAAGGUUGGCUAAUCCUGGUCGGACAUCAGGAGGUUAGUGCAAUGGCAUAAGCCAGCUUGACUGCGAGCGUGACGGCGCGAGCAGGUGCGAAAGCAGGUCAUAGUGAUCCGGUGGUUCUGAAUGGAAGGGCCAUCGCUCAACGGAUAAAAGGUACUCCGGGGAUAACAGGCUGAUACCGCCCAAGAGUUCAUAUCGACGGCGGUGUUUGGCACCUCGAUGUCGGCUCAUCACAUCCUGGGGCUGAAGUAGGUCCCAAGGGUAUGGCUGUUCGCCAUUUAAAGUGGUACGCGAGCUGGGUUUAGAACGUCGUGAGACAGUUCGGUCCCUAUCUGCCGUGGGCGCUGGAGAACUGAGGGGGGCUGCUCCUAGUACGAGAGGACCGGAGUGGACGCAUCACUGGUGUUCGGGUUGUCAUGCCAAUGGCACUGCCCGGUAGCUAAAUGCGGAAGAGAUAAGUGCUGAAAGCAUCUAAGCACGAAACUUGCCCCGA
rnacentral:rRNA from 1 species